CCAACUCAAUUAACUUGACGUCCUCGUCAAGGCCUGACAUAACCCAGAUCGAACCCUAGCAUAGUGCAUGUGAGGUUUAACUCAGUGGUGGCUCCACGCCGUGAUGAGUUCUCGACUCCAUCCUCCUACUCGAGCCCUCUCACCCUGCCCAAAUGCUAGGUCGGCUCUGAUACUAAAUGUCACGACCCGAGUCUGAUGAGCCAACUGGCCAAUAACUCCAUUUUGGUCCUUCAACCACGGACCAAAAUGCUUAAGCGGAAGUUAACGUAGUACACUCAUCAGGCCCUUAUAAGCUAA
rnacentral:lncRNA from 1 species